GUGGAUCCCCCAGCGGGGCGACGUCGUUUUCACUGCUCCAACCUCACCGUUGUCCCCCGCUCAAUCAAAGAAGAACAGUGGCGAUGAAAAACUCUCGAUAAAAAGAAGAGCGAAAGCGAGCCAGUCGGGUGCGGACGUGAAGCCCCCGCGUACUUAAAUCCGCCUCAAUCCCCACUCUCAGAUCCGUCUCCUCCUUCUCUCCUCUCCAUUUCUGCUCCCUGCUCCCUGCCCAUCUUGGAUUUGAAUCCCCUCUCGCCUUCAAGCGCGAGCCUUUGCCGUUCUUUCGGCUCGAUCGAAUCCGACCCAGAAGACAGCAUCCGCCGUUCGCGCUCCGGGUGCUCGAAAG
rnacentral:lncRNA from 1 species